CUACUCAAGCGCAAGGGUGAAACAUGGUUUAUCCAAAGUGAGGCCCUUCUGUUGCAUUACAGUUGGGUUGACUUUUGCGAUUUCCUAAAAUAUGGCGAUACACGUGCACUAUUUUUAAAGGUGGGGUUUGCGUUCGCGGUCGCAUU
rnacentral:snRNA from 1 species